rnacentral:rRNA from 1 species
UACGUAGGGACCGAGCGUUGUCCGGAAUCAUUGGGCGUAAAGAGCGUGUAGGCGGCCACUUAAGUCCUGCGUGAAAUCUUGCGGCUCAACCGCAAGCGGUCGUGGGAAACUGGGUGGCUAGAGUGCGGGAGAGGAGAGUGGAAUUCCUGGUGUAGCGGUGGAAUGCGCAGAGAUGUGGAGGAACACCAGUGGCGAAGGCGGCUCUCUGGGACGGUACUGACGCUGAGACGCGAAAGCGUGGGGGAGCGAACAGG